UGGGGAAUAUUGCGCAAUGGGCGAAAGCCUGACGCAGCAACACCGCGUGAGGGAUGACGGCCUUCGGGUUGUAAACCUCUUUCAGCUCCGACGAAGCGAAAGUGACGGUAGGAGCAGAAGAAGCACCGGCUAACUACGUGCCAGCAGCCGCGGUAAUACGUAGGGUGCAAGCGUUGUCCGGAAUUAUUGGGCGUAAAGAGCUCGUAGGCGGUCCGUUGCGUCUGCCGUGAAAACCCGGAGCUCAACUCCGGGCCUGCGGUGGAUACGGGCGGACUAGAGUCCGGUAGGGGAGACUGGAAUUCCUGGUGUAGCGGUGGAAUGCGCAGAUAUCAGGAGGAACACCGGUGGCGAAGGCGGGUCUCUGGGCCGGAACUGACGCUGAGGAGCGAAAGCGUGGGGAGCGAACAGGAUUAGAUACCCUGGUAGUCCACGCCGUAAAACGGUGGGCGCUAGGUGUGGGAUCGUUUCCACGAUCUCCGUGCCGUA
rnacentral:rRNA from 1 species